GAUGAACGCUGGCGGCGUGCCUAAUACAUGCAAGUCGAGCGAAUGGAUUAAGAGCUUGCUCUUAUGAAGUUAGCGGCGGACGGGUGAGUAACACGUGGGUAACCUGCCCAUAAGACUGGGAUAACUCCGGGAAACCGGGGCUAAUACCGGAUAACAUUUUGAACCGCAUGGUUCGAAAUUGAAAGGCAGCUUCGGCUGUCACUUAUGGAUGGACCCGCGUCGCAUUAGCUAGUUGGUGAGGUAACGGCUCACCAAGGCAACGAUGCGUAGCCGACCUGAGCGGGUGAACGGCCACACUGGGACUGAGACACGGCCCAGACUCCUACGGGAGGCAGCAGUAGGGAAUCUUCCGCAAUGGACGAAAGUCUGACGGAGCAACGCCGCGUGAGUGAUGAAGGCUUUCGGGUCGUAAAACUCUGUUGUUAGGGGAGAACAAGUGCUAGUUGAAUAAGCUGGCACCUUGACGGUACCUAACCAGAAAGCCACGGCUAACUACGUGCCAGCCGCCGCAGUAA
rnacentral:rRNA from 1 species